GAAAUGUAAAUAAAGAAAAUAUCAGGAGCCU
rnacentral:piRNA from 1 species